ensembl:lncRNA
GUGAGUUUCUUCAGCCCUCUGUCGUGAAGUGUGGAGGAAUGAAUUUUGAGUAUUCCUUCUGGGCGGGUGCAGUGCUGCAGGGGAUGUCAAGUGAGCAUCCAUUUGGAGUGCAGGAAGGAGCAGUGAGAAGUGAACUAUCAAUCAGUUUGUGUUUGGGCUGUCCAAGUAGCCUCUUUCUGUUUUCUGGGGGGACGUGGGCAUACUGGGCAGUACUUCUGCUGCCUGCUGGUGUCUGUGAAAUCAACACACCAUCUGUUGUUGUAGGGACGGAGCCUGCGCGUCCAUGGAGUGGUGCUGGGCAAGGCUGGAAACGCAAAGCCUCCGCAGGUAAGAAGCUCUUGUAAGCUGUGCUGUGGGCAAGUGCCUCUAAACAGGGCAGCAUGGAGGGCAGGGUGUGCGAUGGAGGGGAGAGGAAAGGGCACUCCAGAUCCGUGCUGACUGCAGAAGCGGCAUAAUGUUGUAGCAGCAGAAAGGCAAGCUGAAGAAACUGCUCUUGAAGACCAGAAGUUUGUGGUUGGCUGUGCUCAAAUCUUCCGCCACAGAGAUGCUCUUCAUGUCUUUCUUGUCUCCUUUCUGCCAGAAGCUGAUGCGAGCGGCCUUCCAUCAAAGCGCAGCCUUGCAGAAAGGCAAGGCAGAAGCGCCCAGUGUGGCACAGCACCCAAGAGAGAGAUUGGUGCUGAGCCAAAUGACAAAAUCUAUGUCAAAGUGGUCCAGCAGGUCCAUACUGAGAGAGCUUCUCAACAGGCAGCAGCUCAAGCUCCUCUGCAGGCUGGAGGUCCUCCUAGAAGAGCAGGUCCCAGCACAGGGGGAAGACCUUCCCCUGCCGUGUGCCCCCGCUCUGUCUCCAACACCCAUGGCUGGAUAUAAACGCAAGGGCUUGGAGGAAGAGAAACCAACAGCAGCUCAGCAGCCUUCCAAUAAGAGAGUGAGGGGGCCGAGUGGAGACAGCGUGCCGGCUCCAGCAGCACACCCUGGGCCUGCUGCAGCGCGGAGCUCCAAGCAAAGAGCAAGAAGACAGAGACAGAAAGAGAGGAGAGUGGAGCUGAAGAAGGCUGCCCUCAGAGCUGCCGCUGCACGUGCAGAGGCCUCCGCAGUGGACAGCCUUGUGGAGAUGAUGCAGAAGCUGCAGCUGAAGGACUGAGAGGAGGAGCGUCAGCAGGCAGCAGCUUCUGCAGUGCGCGGCGUUACAGGGCAGCGCUGAGUGCCGCCCAUCUCAGCACUCCACCUUCAAACGUAGUCAAUAAACACCAGUCAAAUUUA